UGCUGGUCCCAGUGUAGUGGUGUUUGCAACUAAUUGAUCACAACCAGUUACAGAUUUCUUUGUUCCUUCUCCACUCCUACUGCUUCACUUAACUGGCAUUAA
rnacentral:Y_RNA from 1 species